AGUGAACGCUGGCGGUAGGCCUAACACGUGCAAGUCGAACGGCAGCACAGUAAGAGCUUGCUCUUACGGGUGGCGAGUGGCGGACGGGUGAGGAAUACAUCGGAAUCUACUUUUUCGUGGGGGAUAACGUAGGGAAACUUACGCUAAUACCGCAUACGACCUACGGGUGAAAGCAGGGGAUCUUCGGACCUUGCGCGAUUGAAUGAGCCGAUGUCGGAUUAGCUAGUUGGCGGGGUAAAGGCCCACCAAGGCGACGAUCCGUAGCUGGUCCGAGAGGAUGAUCAGCCACACGGGAACUGAGACACGGCCCAGACUCCUACGGGAGGCCGCAGUGGGGAAUAUUGGACAAUGGGGGCAUGCCUGAUCCAGCCAUACCGCGUGGGUGAAGAAGGCCUUCGGGUUGUAAAGCCCUUUUGUUGGGAAAGAAAAGCAGCAGGUUAAUACCCCGCUGUUCUGACGGUACCCAAAGAAUAAGCACCGGCUAACUUCGUG
rnacentral:rRNA from 1 species